CGUCGGGGCAAGAGCCAGGC
rnacentral:snRNA from 1 species